AUCAUGGGCUUGUGUGUGGGUCCCAGGGAAAGCAGGCAGAGAGUGGAAGAUGGACAGAGGUUUUGACUUUCUGGCAUAUAAGAGGUUUUUGCUUCUUCUGCUAUGAAACUGGUGUAACUUAAUUUCCUGAUAUUAUUCACUCCCUGCUGUCUAGGAUUAAUCUGGAUUUCCCCAAACAAUCCCAAAUGACAAGACUGAUCAAGUCUUCUGCGAUUUCACUGGAUAGGAUCAGAAGGAUCCUAGAGUAUACUCAGAGCUGGCCGCGUCAUAGCUGGCUGCCAUGUUCUUCUUAGGACAUCUUGCUCAGAAGUUGGGACUGUCAUCUCAUGCUGGCACCAUGACAUCCUCCUCAGUUUUUAUAGCCUUCUAACCAGCGUCAGUCUCAGAACUAUGGUCCCAUCACUCCUCGAUGCCUGGCAAAGUGAAGCUGUAAGACUGCUAUGCAAAAGACUGAAAUCUGAUUGGAUGGCAGCCCAGACAGCCUGUGUCCAGCAACGCUCUCCUCUCCUUUCUGUGAGCUGGUGGCAUCCCUGGCCAGUUACUUGUGCUUCCACCCAAGAUGACCUGGAGGACGGCAUGGCAACCCACCCCAGGAUUCUUGCCUGGAGAAUCCCCAUGGACAGAGGAGCCUGGCGGGCUAGUCUGUAGAGUCGCACAGGGGUGGGAUAGGACUGAAGCGACUUAGCAUGCAGGCACGCACCCAGGAUGAAUUAAAAUGAAUAAUGGGGGAGGGGAAAUAACAAAGUAAUUAGAAUUGUCCAUUAAUUAAAAGAGCUUGAUGUGGCUCUCUGACAUGCAAUGGAUCAUGUCAUUGUUAACACAGGAAUUUAUUAUCAGGAGGCCAGUGUUUGGGGUAAAAACGAAACAAGCAAAGCAAAAAGAAAAAACAGAAUCACAGUACCACAAGAAUUCUCCAUCUUGGUCUGGGUACUGUGUAUAUUUUGGGUUGAAUAACUCUUGGUUGUGGGGGUGUCUUGGGCAUUUUAGGGUGUUUAAUUACUGACUCUUUAACUAUUUGCAUGUAGUCUCCACAGACUACACGCAAGUAGUACUCCCUGCCCAAGCUGUGACAUCCCAAAAUGACUCCAGACAUAAUCAAAUAUCCCCCGAGGAGCAGCUUGCCCCUGGUUAAGGACCACUAACAGUACAGCAACUAAAACACAGCCAGUGGCCCCUUUAUGUCCUGCAUCAUCUUUUCCCCGUGACUGCUUGACAGAAGCUUGUUGUCAAGCUACAGUAAGAGCAUGAUAUUUAGACGGGAAGCUGAAGGCAGUUGGUAGUUUAAGAAAGAGAAUAAAUAGUGUGACACCUUUUCA
ensembl:lncRNA